UACAGAGGGUGCGAGCGUUGUCCGGAAUCACUGGGCGUAAAGGGCGCGUAGGCGGUCUGCUAAGCGUGUGGUGAAAGCCCGGGGCUCAACCCCGGGUCGGCCGUGCGAACUGGUGGACUGGAGCUUGUCAGAGGCAGGCGGAAUUCCGGGUGUAGCGGUGGAAUGCGUAGAGAUCCGGAAGAACACCGGUGGCGAAGGCGGCCUGCUGGGACAGUGCUGACGCUGAGGCGCGACAGCGUGGGGAGCAAACAGG
rnacentral:rRNA from 1 species